UCCCCUAAGUCGUCAUACAUGUUACCUCCCCUUUCUCUGCCUUGCCCGACCAGAGAAUUUGGCCCGCAAAUGAAACAAUUAGCUACGACCGUUGGAGCGCCGCGUCCGUGCGUGUGUGUGUGUGAAUACACACACUGUGAUGCAAGUUUACACUUCUUUGUUAUUUGGAUAGCUGUUCUGCUGUUGGUGUUAUGGUGCAUAACAUGUAGGGUUCUCUGACGUCUCUGGUAUUUCCACGAGACUCGUGUUGGGGGCGUUGGUGCCUCGGCAGCGGGCGGCAGGGCUCCGUCGGGAGACAAUCACGGGCAACAAUCCCUUUCUCUUCAAUGUCACGGUUCAGUCUACUUCAGAUUGAUGUGGAAGAACCAGAGACGUCGUAGAGAACCCGACGCAGUCGUUUGAGAUUAAAAAUAUCGUCUGGAGGCGCACACAGCUUUUGGCUGUGAUAAUAUAUAUUAUAUGAUAGAUAUCUAUGUGUAAUAUGAUAUUAUUUAGAUAUAGAGCUCCAGGACUCCCGCCGGAGCACCCGGAAUGUUCUAGAAUAUUUACAGAACAUGACCAAAAGCUGUGUGCGCCUCGAGAUGAUAUUUUGAAUCUGAGCCAUUGCGUUACAUCCACUGUAAACACGAGCGCAUGGUACCGUGGCCGCAAGCUGCUCAGGGCCACACCCCCACCCUCCACCUUGACCCCCCUCUAAAAAACUGCACGUUUUCGGAAAGCUCAUUGUGAGACUGGCUCGUAGUGGUUGUAAUUCUGCACCAAGGCUGAAUUUCUUGAACGUCUUCAAGUACUGUAUUAGGGGCCCACUAACAGCUAUAUAAAAGCAUCCAUAAAGUAGCAUGCCAUGGGACCUUUAA